CCUACGGGAGGCAGCAGUGGGGGAUAUUGCACAAUGGGGGGAACCCUGAUGCAGCGACGCCGCGUGGGUGAAGGAGUGCUUCGGCAUGUAAAGCCCUAUCGGCAGGGAAGAAGCAAGACGGUACCUGACUAAGAAGCCCCGGCUAACUACGUGCCAGCAGCCGCGGUAAUACGUAGGGGGCGAGCGUUAUCCGGAUUCCAUGGGUGUAAAGGGAGCGUAGACGGCCAUGCAAGCCAGGGGUGAAAGCCCGGGGCCCAACCCCGGGACUGCCCUUGGAACUGUGCGGCUAGAGUGCGGGAGGGGCAGGCGGAAUUCCUGGGGUAGCGGGGAAAUGCGUAGAUAUCAGGAGGAACACCGGCGGCGAAGGCGGCCUGCUGGACCGCGACUGACGUUGAGGCUCGAAAGCGUGGGGAGCGAACAGGAUUAGAUACCCCAGUAGUC
rnacentral:rRNA from 1 species